rnacentral:rRNA from 1 species
GGGGAAUAUUGCACAAUGGGGGAAACCCUGAUGCAGCAACGCCGCGUGAGGGAAGAAGGUCUUCGGAUUGUAAACCUUUGUCCUUGGUGACGAAACAAAUGGCGGUAGCCAAGGAGGAAGCUUCGGCUAACUACGUGCCAGCAGCCGCGGUAAUACGUAGGGAGCAAGCGUUGUCCGGAUUUACUGGGUGUAAAGGGUGCGUAGGCGGCUCUGCAAGUCAGGCGUGAAAACUAUGGGCUUAACCCAUAGACUGCGUUUGAAACUGUGGGGCUUGAGUGAAGUAGAGGUAGGCGGAAUUCCCGGUGUAGCGGUGAAAUGCGUAGAGAUCGGGAGGAACACCAGUGGCGAAGGCGGCCUACUGGGCUUUAACUGACGCUGAAGCACGAAAGCAUGGGUAGCAAAC